ensembl:lincRNA
GAAAGAUCAACCCUCUGCUCCAUACUUAUUAAUAUUUCAAAUAUGAAUGAAUUGCCGAGUAUUUACCUGACUAAAGUAAACUGUUUGCUAUGGUUCUUGGAAGAUUCUGCAGAAAGCUUUUGCAGCUCAUUUUUGUCCUACUUUUAUGUGUUCCAUCAGAGCAGGUUCAUUGUUUUAGUAAGAGGAGGAGAAAGAUUUGUUAAAUCACGAAGUGCUAAGAAGCCUUUCAGCUGAGAAAGAUACACAAUGUACAAAGCAGUUAAAACAAAUCAUACAGUAUAACCUGUUAAGGAUGUAAUUGAGAUACAUGUAAUCAUUAACCUUGGAACAGACUGGGAAUCUGUUAAUGAAUCAAAUCAGUACCCUCUCCACUGAUCCAUAAUAAUUUGAAAUAAAUGAAAAGUUUAACAGUUACUGUAUGUGAGGUUAUCGUGGGCUGCAAUUAGCUAGCCUCCAGGAGAUUAUGUUACCUAGUUACCCAAAGAUCUCACAUGAGAUGGCAAAGAGGUCAAGACAAAAAUUCUGCAUUUGGGAAAAGAAUAACACAUGGACUUCCUCCUACAGAGAGGUGGAGUCAGAUUUGAGAGGCAGAAGAAAGUUUCAGAGCAAGGUAAGUUUGGAAGGUCUAACAUCAAUGUUAUUUACACAGGGAAGAGAAGUGAAUCUAGUUUAAUGCAAUUAUGGGAGCUGAAUUAAGCCAAAGCAACAAGUAUUCCAAAGAACGAUUCAUUUUAAGACACUUCAGUGAACUUCGGGCUCCAUCAUAAAGACUCAUGCUUUACCAAUAUUCAAGGGUGUGCUGGCAUGAAUGUAAGCCACUAAGCUCUCCCUUCAAGAGAAUCUUCUGUGGGGUGACUUAUCCACCUGUAGUACCUUGAGAUCCACUGUGUCCUUCCUAUUGAGGCCAUCUUUCUCCUAACACAAUCAUGGCAGAAAGAAUGAGCAUAGUGGGAGUUCUUCAGCCAGGACAUUCUUGCCAGUGCUAGACUCUAAUAAGCAGCUUUUGCUGGGGAACUUCUUAUCACUCUGGCCAAGACUUUCUCAGAACUGCUCUCAGUCUACAAGUUCUCCUUUCUCCCCAUUCUCCUUUCACAAACUUUAUACCCGCAUUGUGCUAGAACACAAGUCUUGCCUUUUUCUGCUCCCUACUACUUAAGCUUCAGAGAUUUUCUCUUAUCAUCAAGAGCUUCUUGAGAGUCCUGAACUUACACCAGUGCUACUGGAAGUUGUGGCUGGGACUGGCUCCCUUACCACCCAGAGAGCAAUGAGGACACUCACCCUGAGUAGAAUGUGAAGCAUGGCUAAUGCUUGGCACAAACUGGUUGCCAAACUGCUAAAAAUUUCACCAUUGCUGAUAUUGGGAAAGUGUACUAAGAGAGAGAAGGCCCCUUUCUGAAGUGAUUAUUCAGGUAUUCGAGAGAUAUAGGGGAGAAAAAUUCUUAAUAGGGGAGCAGAACUCGCCAGUUAUUACCAAGCAUUAUUGAUUCCUUUCAUAAGAAUAAUGGGACAUGGUUAAACAGUUAAAGUAUUAGAACCAGAGGUACUUUUUUCGUAGCUUAAUAGAGUUACAGAACUCCGGAUGUGUUUAAAUGCUCAGCCAAGGCAACAGGACUCUUGUGAUAAAUUCUUAUUAGGAAAACCUGGGAUCUUAAAACAACAUUUAAGGACUUCUGCAUAUAUGUGUCCUCCAAGGAUUCUGACUGUGCAACUCCCUACCCGCUGAAAUCUCAGAGCUUACAGAGGUAUACCAUUCCUCCCUACUAUAAGCUAAAUUUUCUCCCAUAAGGAAAGAUCUUGCUUAGUGUAUUAGUCUGUUCUCAUGCUGCUUAUAAAGACAUUUUGGAAACUUGGUAAUUUAUAAGGAAAAAGAGAUUUACUGGACUCACAGUUUCACAUGGCUGGGGAGGCCUCACAAUCAUGGCAGAAAGUAGAGGAGGAGCAAAGGCACGGCUUACAUGGCGGCAGGCAAGUGUGUGUGCAGGGAAACUGCCCUUUAUAAAACCACCAGAUCUAAUGAGAUUUACUCACUAUCACGAGAAUAGCAUGGGAAAAAACCCAUUGCCAUGAUUCAAGUACCUUCCACUGGUCUCUCCCACGACACAUGGGGGUUAUGGGAGCUACAAUCCAAGAUGAGAUAUGGGUGGGGACACAGGCAAACCAUAACACUUAGGAUUCUUCCUCAUAUAGUAACAGUUGGCCCUCUUGGGAGCAGCCCCCAUAUAGUCUCCUCACUGCCAAUCUGAGUAGCUGGGUGAAAUCCUAGCAUAGCCUGGCUGAGGAUAUGCCAAGCCUUUUAAAAAGGUAAG